UGGGGAAUAUUGGACAAUGGGGGCAACCCUGAUCCAGCCAUGCCGCGUGAGUGAAGAAGGCCUUCGGGUUGUAAAGCUCUUUCGGCGGGGACGAAACGGUCCGUGACAACACCACGGACUAAUGACAGUACUCGCAGAAGAAGCACCGGCUAACUACGUGCCAGCAGCCGCGGUAAUACGUAGGGUGCAGGCGUUAAUCGGAAUUACUGGGCGUAAAGCGUGCGCAGGCGGCUCCUUAAGUCAGAUGUGAAAGCCCCGGGCUUAACCUGGGAACUGCGUUUGAAACUGGGGAGCUAGAGUGUAGAAGAGGGGGGUGGAAUUCCAGGUGUAGCAGUGAAAUGCGUAGAGAUCUGGAGGAACACCGAUGGCGAAGGCAGCCCCCUGGGCUAACACUGACGCUCAUGCACGAAAGCGUGGGGAGCAAACAGGAUUAGAUACCCCCGUAGUCCCUGAGCGGGCUGGCAAGGCGC
rnacentral:rRNA from 1 species